UGCGGCGAGUCACGCAGGCUGACCCAGUCACGUGGGCUCCUGGGGAGCCCAACGGUCAUAACGGCCCAAACACCCGAAAGAGGUGAGGCGGGUGCGCCGCCCACAUGGCUGUGCUGCAGUCCUGGAGCCAGAGUAUCCGCUCCCCGUCGGAGCCGGCCUGCCUCGCCCCCCCCCGCCCCUUCGGGCUGGCCUCCGCGCCUCCAACCCCACACGCCUUCCCCCCAGGCCUCGCCUAGGCCGCCCUCCUCAGAACCGCCCGGCGCUCGCGGUUCCGCCCCGGCCCGUCCGUCCUUCUCACAGCCAGCCCCACCCACGCUGCCGCGAGCCAAGGGGCGCUGCGCUCUGAGCCCCCCGCGCGGGCCGGGCCUGUUCCUGUGACUGUAGGUGAGGGUGGGAUGGGUCCAGCGUGGCUUGCACCGGCGUGUUCACUGAGUGCUGGCUGCAGCCGCCUGGGCGCAGGGGCGUCACGGUACGUGUCAUCCACCCGGGGUGAGCGUGGAUGCCCCGUUCAGGUUUUGGCCCAGUUAUCACCGGCAGUGCAGCCGCCCGGUGCCCGCCCGCUCUGUUCAGCUGCGGGGUUUACAGCUCUCCUCACGCGGUGAUUCCGUUCGCCUUAGGUUGCCCGUAGCGCCCCGGCCACCUUAGUGUAAAAACUGUCUCUGGCCUUUAGCUUGAUUCCCAGCUUAAACUUGCAGAAACUAUUUUAUCUACUAAAACGAAUAGCCCAAAGACUGAAAUACUAGGUCACCAUCCGACUCUUCAGUUAAUCGCUAGAGGGGGCUCAAGAGUUUUCUCACAUUAGAAAAGGCUUUAAUUUAAAUUACUGGAAGUGAAGAGAGUAAACCCAGAGUUCCAGCAAUGGUGCAAGGCACUCUAAAGAUAAGUAUGCAAUAUUCAGUGCUCUUUAAACUUGUAAAAAAAAUAAAAAAUAAAAACUGGUAUGCUGGAUAAAUAAACUUUAUUUUGUAUAGCAUCUUUCAUACACAUCAUAAAAUGCUUCACCGAUUCAAUACUCCACUGAGAUUUUAUGUCAUACUUCUAGUUAUUACUUUGUCAAUAUUUUUAAAAUUAAAAGGCUAGCUGUCAAUUUAAUUUGUCCGAUUUGAUACCAGAAUCAUUUUUUAUAUUGUCUUAAGGCUGCUCUAGUUUACACAGGAGGGUCAAGCAGGCCCCAGCUGUCCCAAAAUUAGAAGAGCACAAAGAAGUCUUGCAGCCUUCUUUGUUCUCCUCCCAUCCAUGCUUGUCCCAAACAUAGAAUCAGCUUAAAUGACAAUCAAGUCACAGUACUUGGGAGUUCCCUUAUCAGAAACCAGUUACAUCCAAACUGCCUGUGGUUGUAGCAUACCCUUUCAGCUGGUAAAGAGUAAGCUCUUCUCUGUGUAAAAGGUGCAAAACAAAGGGAUUCAAUUUAGUUCAGUGGCGUUAGCACUUUCGAGAUAACUAGGGAAUACAUACAGUGAGUUGAUCAUAAAUUAGACAUACGGUUUCAGUAAUUUUUGCUAUAUUAGAAAAUAGUUGACUUUGAAAAAAAAAUGCUACAGGUACUUUUAGGGCUGUAUACUCAGCAUUUGAUCCACAAAGCAACUUGAUGUCAAUGAGUUCUGUACAUUCUGUUAUUCAUCACUGGGUUUUGCUGUGGACCAGAGACUGCAUAUGUGGCCCUAAAAAUACCUGCAGUAUUUGUUUCCAAAAAUCAGCUUUUUUUUCUGGAAGAGAGCAAAACAUAUUAAUCUGACCCCAUAUAUUAGCAAGAAAACAAGCUUUCCGAUUUUAGGGGGGAAGUGUUCAGGUUGGGGAUUUAAGUGCCAGCUGUCAGCAUGGAACUUUGUGUUGCAUUGUUUAGGCAAGUUACAGACACAUUAAAAUUUGCACCAUGAAAGCCCAAACUAUCAUGCACUUAAAUUUUGCUUGAUGUGGAAUUUUUUCAAUAGAUUAUGCAGUGUUUACACAUGCAAGUUUGGUUCCUAAAUGAACAGUCAGCAUCUUAGUCUUCCUCUUUGGAUGGAAACUUAGAAAGAUAAAUUAUCUGAUUAAUUCAAAUGGAAAUAAUCAUAAUGUUAAUACAAUCAUUAAGAAAAUAGAUGAGUUCUGAAAUCUGAGAGCCUGAUUCUCACUUAGACCCUGACUCUACAAACACUUAAGCACAUGCAUAACUUUAAUUAUGACUACACAUAUGAGUAAAGUUAUGCAUGUGCUUAAGUGAUGGGAGGCUCUGGACCAUCAUUUUGCAGUGGUGUCACUUGAUUGACUUAAUUGGGACUUACUACUGUGACAGGAGAAUCAGGUCCGUUGUCAUAUAAUAAAUAAACUGUAAAAAAAGGAUAUAAAUUUUCCAAAAAAUUUUUAGCCUGUUUUCAGAAACAGUUUUAUAAGGAAAACAUUUUUCCCUGAAAUGUUUUUAGUUUGCAUCCAGAUAUGUUUUUAGUUUACAUUAACUGGAAGGGUAAAGCAGCUUAUGUGCAUUUGUGCAUCCCUCUUUAUACAAAAACCAUUUAGGAGAGCUUGUAUGCUAUUCUCUGGUCACAACCAGACUUUAUACAGAGAAGAUCAUUUUUAGUGCUACUGUUCUGAUAGCAAUUCUGUAAUGUGAAGAGCACGUGCAGCAUGUUGGAGGGAUAUGGCAAAUCUGCAGUAUUGCAAACCACAUGCAUCUGUAAAGUUGAAUUAAAUAUUCCAAGAUGGUGGAGGAUUUCUUGGUCCUUUAGGUUUUGAAAAUCGAUUUGUAAAGCCUGGGAGUAAAAACAAAAUAUUACAAGAAUACAGUAAAUAUACUACCUAUAUUUUAUACAUUGCUCAUAUAAUUCCAUAAGAGAUUUGUUUCUGAAGAGAUUUGGGAUUUUACACAAUAUGCAGUAUAUUACUUUAGUCAUGUUAAUUGAAUAUAAUGAUAUUAAACAAAGAAUGAUAAUGUUUAUAUAAGACAACUACUAUGCACAUGCAGUUAUAUUAAGGCACCUCAUAACCUAGAAACCGUGUCAGGGUUUGACUUCAUAAAGUUUGUGGUAAUAUUAAGUUUACUCAGCAAAAGUACUGUCAGGUCAAUGAUCUAAUUCAAUAUGCUGUCUUCAACAGCAUCCAAUAUUGGGUGCUUUUGAAACAUAAAUGCAUGUAAUUGUGCUAUACUAUACUGUGGAAGGAUGUUUCUUUCUGAUCUCAGCUUGGGAUCAGCAUAUGAGACAUCACAAUUGAUAGCUCUUAAUUUUAGUCUAGCUAGUGAGACUGUGGAUGCCAUUUUCACAUGAAUGUUCAAAUUCUUCUUCAAUCUUGAAAAUCUAUGUGGUUUUAAAUAAUAUCCUGCGCUUGUGAGUUCCAAAGAUUAGCUGUAGCAACUCUUAUCCUACAAAUAAUAGAAUACAAUAGUACUGUAUAAGGAUGUCUGGUAGCAAACAGGAUAAUUGAAACAAGCAUAUUAACAGCAUAUCAAUAGGAUUAUGCCAAACAUCCUGUAGCUUUUGCUGGUCCAUGAGUACAUGACAUUAGGCAGCAGCCACUCUCAUUAGCCUUUCAAUGUGGAAGAGUUAAAUUGUAUCUUCUGCUGCCUCUUUUGCCACAUUUAUCUUGUGCAACAUUUUGCCACAGAGCAGCUAAAUGUUCAUUGUAUGUGCACCCUGUGUGUUGAUACACAAGUAAUAUUUAUGUUACAGGGUUUCUGGUCUGUCUAAUUUUAUCUUUAUAUAAGGCAUAAGUAGUUUAUGAAUAAGUAAUAUAUAUAUUAAAAAUAAACUAUUUUAAAAUUAUUAAGUUAUAAGGUCACUUCAGCUUUAAACAAAUCUGUAGUCUUAAUUUUUAUGCACACGCGUUUGCAAUAAAAUGACAGACCACCAGGCAAUUGCUGCAGGGCCUGGUAAAAAGUGUUUGCAAUCAUAAUUAAGGCACAUAUUAAAAUUACUUUUGCAUCAUACACUUACGCACCCAUUUGGUGAUUCAUGUCACUUUCCUUGCCCUAGCUAGUAGCUGGGCUCCAUAUCUCUAUCUAGUCUUUUAAAAGUCUUUGUAGUUAACAUAGCAAAAAGUCCAAAUAGAAAGGAAUGAUGUGAAGAACAUACCGAAGCUCAGGAAAGAGCUGGAGUGGUUUGACUGGGCAGAUUCUGGUGGUUUUGCCAGUGAAGAUGGGCUACAGAUGUCUAGAAACACAUAAGAAAACUUUAGCAGCAGAUGGCCACUUUAAUUGCCUAAAAAUGUUAGAUAUCAGAGACAAAUAAACACCUUCUCACCUCCUGUGAGGGGAGGCUAUAUGCAGAUUGUUACUUUAAUCUAUGGGCAUGCAUGAAUAAUGAAGAUGUCAUAGUCCAAUACACUGGGCAUCUUGUUUGCUCAGAGUCAACUUGAAAUUUUAAGCUAUCCAAGUUUUAAAACAAGUCGUUUUAAUUUCACAGACUCAGCAUGGAGUUAAAGUGACCAUAUAAUCUUAGAGAGAAAUUCCUUAUUAAUGUAUGAAACACGGAAGGGAGUUGCAUUCCUUGCAAGAUCCAAGACAGAGGCAAAUGUGACUGUAUGCCGUCUUUGCUUUUCCUUACCCCCACCCAGUCAUGGGGCCAAUUUAGCCUAUGGCAUAAUCUACUGUAGCCUUGAGUUUGCUCUAAUUUGCAUCCACUACAAUAGUCUCCCAGGCUGGUAUGCCAUCUCAUAAUUCCUAGAGUACCUCAGCAUUCAGGUCACCACCCCAACAUGCCUCCUACUCUAGAGCUAGGAUGGGGGAAUGACAUAGAACGGAAUACUCUGGCUGUAUGCCACUUGGGAAUAUCCCUGUGCUGGAGGAAAUCCACAACCAGUUUGUUAAGGCAGCUUUCCACCUGCUUUGUGCUACUAGAGUGAUGGAAAGCAAAUGGAACCGAGACAAGGAUCUGGACUAGGAGUGCCCAUCAUAAUGGGAUAACAGAGCAUUGUGAAUGACAGACUGUCUUGGCAGCUGCAGUUAGAGAAUUGUCCAUCAUAACCAGUGCUCAGUAAGAGAAUAUCUCUGUGGAUAUGGAGCCUGAUCUUGCAGAACCUUACUUACACAAGCUGUCAUACUGUUUUUGAUAGAAUUACUUUUGGAGGAAUAGUAUAGGAUCAGACCCUACACUAGUCCUUCAAAUGGUGGCAAAUGAAGUGAUAAUAUAAAUACUAAUAAUACUCUUAAUUCUGCUACAGGUAAAUGCUUUGCUAUUACAUUAAAUCAACACAUUUGUUUUACAAUAUGUUUUUGGCUGUGACUAAUUUAAAAGUAGAUGGAUCAAAUGUUAGGAUGCCUGCAGUUUUAGGUAACACUUUUCAUAUGACAACACCUCAGAAUGCAUGGGAAAGGCUGGGCAAAACAAGCCAAAAGAUUGAUUAAUUUCUAUGCACAGGAAGUGGGAUGACAGGCCAACGCUGAUUUCAUAUACACUAGCAACCUUGAUCUUGAGUGAGCCCAUUAGCAUAAUGGCUACACUGAGACAUAUAGAUCUUUAAUUAAUUCAGUCUGUUAAGUGCAUUGAGAUGUCCAAAAGAAAGGUAUUAAAGAAGAGCAACAGAUUAUUCAUCCAGUCAGCUGGUGAGUACCCUCAGCUCCAAACAAGAGCAAUAGGAGUAAAGGAGCCUCAGCAUCCUGCUGGUUCAGGUCCUAAAAAAGUAACAGAUCUGUUUGCUACAUUACGUGUACCCCACCAGACAGACAGACUUGUUGAUGAUCAAGAGACUUACUCUUUUUCAUGUUACGUAAAAUUUUCAAGCUCUGUAAAAAAAAAAGUUUUUAAAUUAAAGAUUUUGUUGUUGAGAGAACCAUUUGCAUCAAGCUGGAGAUCAGUGCCUACCAGUGAAGAGAAUUCACUGCUGAACAACCAUGCAAAACAGCAUGCAUAUAUCAUGUCACAAAUGCAGAAUCCUACAGUUUCCUUUGUUUGCUGGCUUACCUCAGCCAAAAUGUAAACUUCCCAGAGUGUACAGUUAUAGCUGUUCAAGCUAUACUUUUCUCAAUAACUCUUCCCUGCAGCAAACACAUUCAAAGGCUAAAUGAGGGCAUUCCCUAGAGUAGCACCUGAGAUGGGGAUUGUUGAGGAGUGGAGUCUGUCCCUUAACUGGGAGUUGAGGCCCUAGGUGAGCAGCUUUUCUGAGAAGAGUUGGCAUGGUACAUGGAGAACUGAUUGCAGUUAGGCAGCCAGUUACAUAGCUCGACAGAUUGGUUUUGUUCCUGUUGUCAACUGUGAAUCUUUUCUUCUUUCCUGCAGCUCUGUUUGCAGUGUCACCACAGAAUAUACUGCCUGAAUGCAUUCUCUUGUCAUAAAUACAAGAAGUCUCAAACCCAGGACUCUUUUCUCCUGUCAUCUACAUGAGCUUCUGUGGUGAAACAAUGGAACGGAUUAAAGCGAAUGAUGUACAGGCAGCACAGUGCUAGAGAGCAUGUCUGACGGUCCCUAGGGGGCCAGACUCACCACCACAAAGCAAGGUCUGCACGAUUAAUUCUUUCCUGAUUGGCCUCUCUCGAGGCACUUAGCACAAACAGAGCAACAGUAGCCACUCGAGAACCAUUUUGCAGCCAGGACUUCUUUGAAGACCAGAAAGUCUGCAUGCUGAGCUGGGGACGCUAGAGGCUCUGACACAGGCUUUUGAAAUGCCUCUUUAGAAAGUUAUACAUUUAUAUGGAACACAAAACUUCUGCCGUACAAACUUAUCAUUUUCAGCAUAGAUGCCAAACAGACAACAGACAAUAGUGACAUUAAGCUAUCUCCAACAAAUGACAAGCAAUUCACUUUUCUCACACUGUAGCGAAGAACUGAAGCAUCUUUGUCAAAUAAUCUCUGGUUUGUGGUACCACCUGAAUUAGACUGAGCUGUGCAACAGGAGGAACUGAAGAAAAGUAAUUGCAGUAGGAAGAUGCUGCCCCCAGCUGUUUGUUGGCUGAGACGUGUAAAUUCUGGGCCCAGUAAAUGCUGUGUCGCACAGUAUAGGGAAGUAAUGGACCGCCUCCUUACAUGAGACAUGUAACUUUGGACAUAAUACCAGAGAAGAUACUGUAGGAACAACCCUGCAUUGGCCUUUGGGGAUGGAUUGGAUGAGAUGUAACAAGGCUAACAGAGGUUUAACUGCCCAAAUUCUGGAACAGUAUCACCAGUUCACAGAAGGGGUCAUCUAAGUUUCUGGAGUUAGGAUUUCUCAAAACCACAUCAGAAGGCAUGACUUACUGGUAACAAUCUCUUGUAAGUGGGCGGCAGAAAGAACAGUGAACUCACAAAGAGUUGCAUUUAGGAGCUGGACAUUUCCUGUACAGACUAAUUUGCAACUGGUCUCAACUCAAGAUGAGAACCUGCUUUGUACUUUGGGUUUCUUUAUGUACAGAUCCUCAACAAAGCAACUGCUACUUUCAGAACAGGAUCUUCAUGAAUGUUCCUAGAUGGCUGAAAUGUACACAUUUUAACUGUUAGCUCUGAGAGUGCGCUGACCUGUUCUCUAGCCAUGCCCCUUGGUCUUCUCCCAGCCACUAGCUCCCCAAAACAUCUGAUGAAGAAAUUUGGUGAGAAACAUCAGAGCCCCUCGGUCAACAUUUACCAAAUUUCAGCAGUAAGAAGAAAUUCACAAAGUUGACAGUUUUUGUGCUAUCUGGAUACUUUCAUGAAGAGCCUGCUGUUUGUGAAAUAAACCACAGCCAUGGAGGGAGACACUUCUAUAUCCAGGAGUACCCAGGAAUUUAUACAUAAACAGUACAUUGUGGAUUGUGUAAAGCAGCUGCACACACACAACCUCAAAAGCCAGAAAGUGAUAGUAAUUUAAUGGUCCAUACCUUCUCCUACCCCCAAGCCAGACCCCUCUGACUGCCAGCACUCCCACCAUACAUCAUAGACAACAAUAACUCUUCCCUGACCUGCCAACAUCCCCUGACUCAACCAUGAACAAGUGUGUUUCCCCAGGCAGAUAGUAUGGGUGGGAGGUCUGUUCUGUUUGCAGUGAUGAGAAAUUGUUGCAGGGGAUGCCAGCAUGGUUGGCAGUGUUAAGGCCCCAGUGUGUUGUGGUGCAUGCUGUUUGUGUUACAGCUGAUGUACACAUCUCUGGCCAGAGUAGCAAAGAGUAUGUAAUGUUACCUGACAGCUUUUAAUUUCUUUGUUUUUGAGGUGGGUGUGUUAGGUAUGUUAUAUGUGCAGCUACCUUAACUGAUACACAACAUAGUGUGCUUUAUGUAUCAUCUUCCAUAUUGUCAUAUCCAGGCUGAGCACUUGCAGCUUCAAUAGAAGUCAAGGGAACUGUGGAUACUUAA